CAGAGACAGACCUGGACAUGGAUCUCCGGCUGUUGAUAGUGCUGCUGCCACUGCUCUGGGGCUCAGAGCUGAAGGCUGAAGGAAACUACAGCCCAGCAGCUGUGGAAACCCUGGAUUCAAAGUCUCUGCCCCUACACCUCUCCGCCUGACCCGCCCCAUGUCACUCUCUUCUACGACCGUUGUCACACAGAAUGGUACCAGAUUUGUUUAAUGAAACAGUAGAAGGUAGGACAUGAUUUAUUUCAUCCAAAAAUAUUUGUGUGGCUCCUGAGGGUGUGGCUGCAACAGUUGAUUUAACACCUGACCAAGCCGAAUGGUAUUUAGUGUCAGAUGAAGCUGUUCCUCAUGUUUCUCUUUCUUUGCAUCCUGAGCAUCAAGCUAAGGAAUUGGGAGGAGUGGUAAAGCACUCUCUGGCAGCUGGGGACUGGCAGGACAUCUCAGUCACAUACUUAAGUUUGGUUACAGAGUUCUCAAAACAGGUUCCAGAGAAACCAACCGAGGGACCCCAGCCAACCACGUCCGAAGCUGAGUGGGUCCUGCUGACGGUGAUCAAAAGGAAGUGGUCAGAACCCAGGUGGACCGGUCCAUUCCA